AGACCUGUACUCCGUACUCCGUACUCCGUAGUCGCAGCGGCGCGGUCUUCGGCAGUCUAGUCAUCCACCGCCAUCCUGGGCCCCACAUGUUGCCUGACCAUUCCUGAGCCCAGGUAGGGGUCCUGGGGGAUUGGGUUCAGUGGCGGGCGGCGUGGGAGGCUGGGCCGCAGUGAGUGGGGGCACCAGUGGUUCUUGGAGACCAAGCCUUCACUACACGUGCUACUUCCUCUCAAGAGGCGGUUGAGCGCGUUCGGAACAUUUUACCCGGAGGAGACUCGGGGAUUACGUGAUGAGUAACCUCGUGCUUCUCUUUCAGCAGAGAAGUGGGGCUUCUCCUGCAUGACCUGGGUGGACCCCAGUAGGUGGGGUGGGACGUGUGGUCAGGAGGGACCUCACCGGAAGGCAUGGGGUGGCGUGUAGACCUGCCGCAAGAGAGGCUGUAGAGUGGGCCAGGCGUUGCAAGGAGCUAGAGCUGGAUAAUGGUUCAGAGGCACAAGCUGAAGCUAACUGCGUUUGGAGCUAACUGCAUUUGUUCCUUUCUAGGUGGGAGCGGUGGCUGAGGUGACGGUCUCAAAGUGGAAGAGCUUACUGUCACAGCAACUCCUUUGCAAGAUGCCCCGGUAAAUCACGUUGCAGAGACCCCAACUCUGCCUUCCUGGAACUAGGCCUGCGUUUUCUCUGAACCAUUAUUUCAUGGGGAAAAUGAAAUCUACUUCAUGUGCCUGGUCUACUUACUCCUUCAGAAGUGAUUUCUGAGCCAUAAGAUACAUGAGAAAAAAAUGAAAGGGAAAAGGCAGUAUUUAUAUUAACUACAUGAUGAUAAGGAUGUUUCUGGUCACAGUGAAAAGCCAUGCUAGAAUUGUAGUGUCAUAGACUAAUGUGGAAGUUCGUGUUGUCUGAUCUAUUUAAUAAUUUAAUAAGGUUAUCUCUUCCAAGACACCUUCCCUUCUUCCUCAGCCAGAAAGGAUCUUUCCCUGAGAGUCAUCAGUAGCUCUGGGCUCCUGGAACCAAGCUCAGGUGCCUAAUUGAACUCUGGUCUCUUCCCACAGCCCCCAGCAGGGACUGGUGCUUAGUGAGAGUGGACUGCCAGCCCCCAGCAGGGACUGGUGCUUAGUGAGAGUGGACUGCCAGAUUCCUUAAGUGUGGGGGAUUUGGGUGAAUGAGGUUAGCAAGCCUCCAGCGUGCUUGGGUCUGCGGUGACCCUAUGCAUUCCUUCAGUGCUUGCUAGAACAGUUUUGAAACGGUUUGAGGCCUUGCCCUGCUCCAUCCAGAGCAAGGUUAUAGAAAUUUCAGACAAUGACUUCCUCCCUCCUGGAUCUAGUGUCCUGGGCCUUGUAUAGAUCUGUGCCAUCUAAUGUGGUAGCCACUUGGCAUGCAUGAUUAAAUUAAAUUUGGAGUUCUAUUUCAUUUUCACACUAGCCACAUUUCAGAUGAUCAGUAGCCACAGGUGGCCAGUGGCUACCAUAUUGGACCGCACAGAUUAGAGGGCAUUUCUGUCGCUGUGGAAGUUGUUUCGGACAAUGCUGGUGUGAAAGGUGAAGGGAAUCCUGAGUGUUUGCUGUGCUCCAGGCUCAGUUCAAAUUUUAUUUUAUUAUACACUUAAAGCAAAAGUCUUAUAAAAGUUGAGGAUGAAGCCAAGAGAGGUGGUAAGGGUAGGAGUUGAAACAGUGAAGAGGAAUAACAGGGAAGAGUCCUGCCCUGAGAGACUCAUGGAAUAGGAUAUUUACAAGGCAAAGCAAAGAGAACCCAAGUCUCAGUUCUGCAGAGGAGCUGAGUGCCCCAGGAGCUAGUGGAGGAUGAGGUCAAUGUAUGCUCAUCUUAAAGGAAAAACUCAUGGAAGAGGAAGGUGCUAAUGUUGUUGAACACCUAUUUUGUGCCAGACCUCUUAAUUGUUUUAAAUCUUUGAGGUAUCACCAUGAGGUCGUUUUUAAGUUCAGUACAGAUGAGGGGCCCAAGGUCAGAAUUACGUGUCCAGGGUUGCCCAGCCACAAACCUGCAGAUCAGGGUUUGAUGCCAGGCCUCUCUAACCCUGCAGCCUGAGUGGAAUAUAGAAGCCGGUGGGAAGUUUGGAUGGGAAGGAGAUGGAUGCCUUCAAGUUCUUGUCUUGGUGUUAGGUGUGUUAAAGGACUGGCUGGGAUGAGAAGAGUGUUGCUGGCUUGAGCAUAGCACGAGCAGCACAGCUCCUGUGUUCCUCUGGGUGGUGGGGUCACCUCUCUUAAAGGUAGAGGCUUCCAGCUGAUUCUGUCUUUUCAGGCCAGGAAUAGUUGCUGAACACCCCAGGAUGCUGAGGUCCCUCCUUGAGUCUCAUGUUCAAGCAGUCUUGUGAGUAAAGCACUGGCUACCCCUUUUCACUUACUAUCUUUUCAAGCAUGUUCUACCACCUUGGAAGGUAAGAGGUUAGUACCUUCUUCCAGAGCAGAGGGCAGGCAUUCUUGCUGUGCGUUGUGAAAGGGUAGAGUCCUGCGCUCCCUUCUUGUAGUAGUCCAAUGGCUCAUGCAGGUGCCUCUGACUCCCCUAUGGGAACUGGGGCUUGGGAGGGUGGUGGAAAAUGCUGAUGCUCUGGCUAUUGCUAUUGUUUUGACUAAUCAGUGGUCCCUUGUCCCUAAUCGAGGAAUUUUGUAUUUUCUACCAGUGUCCAUGAAACUGGGAGGUGACCGUGUUAGCUGCCAGUUCCUGACAGCCACCUCUCACCAGUGGCUUCACUCUGUGUCCCUGACCCAGCACAUGGCACAAGAGUGCCUGCCAUCCCUCAGUGUUUCUACAGCAGCAAUCCCGAGAUGCUGGAGCUAGAGGGGACCUGACCUGAGAGAAGAUACCUUCAGUGGCUGCCAGGCUGUUCCUUGGAACCUGUGCAGGGAUGAGGCCUGCCUGUGUUAAUACACCUAGUGAGGAGUGGAGCUGAAUUUGAAUGCAAGCCUUGGCACCUUAAUUGAGCAAGUUUGAAACCUCGCUUGUUGCCCUUCUGGAAGGAGUCAGGAAUUUCCAGUUCUGGGCCUGGGGCUGUGGGUCUGACAGACAGACCUCUGGCCCUAGGUUUGGGUGCCAGGUUCUCUGCUUCCAGAAUGAGAAGCUUUGCUGUGCACCAGGACCUGGGCCCUUCUGGUAUCUCCUGAAUGAAAAACAAGGGAUAUUUAAUAAAUAUGGAUUUAAAUAUGUGA
rnacentral:lncRNA from 1 species